UUCGCUACACAUUUCAAAACCCAAUAAAAGCUCAAUGUCUAAUGGCCCAUUUAAAUAUUCACACCAAUAAGAUACUCCCAAAACUCCACCUCACCAAUGAGGCGUCCUAAAAAGACUCGACUUUUUUCUUUUCUUCUCCUCAUACUCAACAUUUCUUCAAACGAUGGUCUUCUCAUCUCCCAUACCUUCCUCCAUCUCUCAUGAUUAUAUAUUGAUUCGAUCCACAAACUCACUACCUGUAGAUCAAUUCGACUGUUUGAUUCAAUUUCUUCACUACGAAAUACAAUUUUCCAGUUUUAAAAUACAAUUCAAACGAUUGUACCAUAUCUCAAACCGUUUUGAUAUGUUUCCAGGCCUAUAUGGUGGUACGUUCGGACCUAAAGGCACUGAGAUAGUACAACUUCAUCGUAAGUAUGGUCACUGGAGUGAUGCCGAGGAAAUAACUCCUCAGAUACUGAAAUCUUUGAAUAUAGUGAGGCGGUGAAGUUACAUGGGAUCCAAAUGUGUUGGCUGGCCAGGUGAAAUUUCGUGCAAGUGUUGGAAGGGAAGUCGUGUGAGGGAUCGUGGAUUGUACCCAGGUGAAAUGGGAGUGGUAAUGACAGUUUACUCAUCUCUCUGAGUUUCGGUUUUAUGAGAACUACAAUUACUGAAAAA